GCGUCACUUUCAGCAUUAUGACAUCGGCAACGUAAUAUUCCGUUAUUUCUAAGAAGACGUUAUUCGAAUCAGAAUAAAAAACGCUAACUGUGCAAAUAUGCAUAUACUUUGUUCUAGUUCAAGCUAGGAAGAUACAAGAGCGAAACUUUCCACAAUAACUUGCCUAGUAAAAUCUAACGAAGUCAGUCAGCUCAGAACCUAUGACAUUGAAAACUGUAAUUUUCCAGAAGAUUUUCGUCGAAGCAGAGACGGUGUGCCUUUUAUGAAAUCAGAGAUUUUCAAAGGUGAAUCAAAAUAUAAACACUUUGCAUUAUGGUAUCCAGAAAUAUAGAGAACCCUUCUAUUAGAGCUGGUGCAGGAAAAUGCGGAAGAAAGAGAUCAAGAAAACCAAGAUCCAGAAUGACAUAUUGCGUGGGAUGUUGUAGAAAAACGCCGACUUAUAAUUCCAAAGUUGUGAGGUUACAGAAUGGGGUUUGCGCACUGAAAGGAGGCUGCUCUAUAUGCACGUCGUUAAAAUAUAAAUUUGUUUCACCGAAGUUUGCAAGGAAGUGGAGGACGAUAUAAAUGAAUCCAUGUUGAAAUAUUUUUCGAUGAAUAAAGUAAAUCGACAUGCAAUGCCA
rnacentral:lncRNA from 1 species